AUUUAAGAUAUCAACCUUUUUGUUUAAAAUUAAACACUUGGUGACAAAAGCUUUCCAACAUUCUUUCAAAUCCGUGCAAUCAAGAAACUUCAGAAAUUUAUUUUAUUUUUCUUUCCUAUGGUAAUCUCGAUGCCUUAGGAAAUUUAUUGGCAUUUCUAUCACUUGGUAAAGAUUUGUGGGAUAAAGAUGUUUCUGAUGUUUUGGAACUUGUAAAAAUAUGUAAUUAAAUUGGUCCCAUUUUUAUUCAUACUUUUUUUUUGUAUUUCAUGUUUGUUAAUUUCUCUUCUCCCCAUAAAGCAAGGAAUCCUGAAAUGACACUAAAUUAAUCAUUACCAAGUGAGAGUGCAACGAGGGCAAAGUCUCCAAUGUAGGGAUACCAUGUAGAUAAGUUCCUUGUCCAACCAUUUUAUUGUUAAAAUUGCCUUUCAUUUGAUGGAUCUUAUUUAGAAUAUAGAUGUAAAACGAGUCUCUCCUGAAAAUAUAAUUUUCUUAUUUUUAAAAAAAUUUUGGUCAACUAUUUUGACAUUUGUUCUACCCAUUUGUGUCCUAAAUAUUAUUUUAGAUCCAUAAACAAACUAUUCUAAAAUCAAUUGGUAGGUGCCAGUAAAGCAAGUAAGAUUAUUUUAAAACGGUCACAUCCAACUAAAAACUAAUUUUGGAUCAAAAAUGAGUUUGCAUUUUGAUUAGUGUUAGAUGUUCUGCCCAAUCUUUCCAUGCAGUUUAUGCUUAAAGUAAAUGUCCAGUUUUUACAGGUGCUUUUGUGCCCUUAGUGGGCAGAUUAUUUUUCUAUCCGCAGAUUGUGCUGUAAAAUCUCAGAGGUUCAUACCUCCUAGGUUAAGAACCAUGUGCUAUUUUAUUGGGUGCCCAGCGGUUGCUAGAGGUAUAUAAUACAGAUCAGAUCCCAGGCAACAGCCUACACUCAACUGAUUACUGCUACUGCCUUCCCCAGGAUAAUGGAGAUUCACGGAAAGUGCCUAGUAAAAUGCUUUUUCAGAAUAUUACAAUUGAAGAAUUAAUCACUGAGCUAAUUUUAUAACAAAAUAAGUCACCAAGCUAAUGCCAUGUACUUUAUUUGGUCCCUAUCUUUAGAUCACGGUUUACACGUGUAAAUUUAAUUCCAUUAUACUACAGUGUUUUUCUUUUAAUGUUUUUGGUGUUCUGGCCAUUUCCAAACUUACAGAAACACACUCUAAAUGUUGGCACCUGUUUUUAAUAGGAGCUGGAGCCCCAUAGUAGGAUUGUGCAUGCAUUUUAACCUCUAAGAUUGAGACCUGCCUAUAAGUAAUUGUUUUGUCUGCAAGUGUAACCUGUGCUGGUAGAGGUUGCAGUUUUGUAGAGGUGGUUAAUCUCAGCAACUGCUUAGUUUUAACCAUCCAGUUUUAACAUAAUAAUGAGCUUUUUAUUUAAAGAAAGAGCAGUGCAGAAUGAGUUUAACAUAUUUAAACAGUGAAAAAUGUUUCACUCAAUAAAAAUAUGUUGUUUUUUUUGUUUUUUGUUUUUUUAAACCGGUCACCUGCAGUCUUUUACAUUAAGUGUGUGGUCAUAGUACUUCACUGGGCCAAUGCAAAGUAGAGAGGGUGUGCUUGUGUGCAAGAUUAACUUUUAUGCUCCUAGUUGCAACUUUCACUGCCUGGUAGACUUCUAUUCAGCACAUUACAACAGGAGAGCUAGAAAUAGUUCUAAAAUUAGAAGCUUUGGACUCUAAAUGGUAACUGUUUUUUGUUUUUGUGUUAUUGGCACGUUGAUUUGUUUUACAAUAGCUAAAACAAAACAUUGGUAAUUGAAAACAAGCAUGUUGGCUGUAAUUUCAUAAACCUGUAGUAGUUGUACAUUAAGUACUUUCAGUUUGAAGCUAAAUAAAUUCAUGUUUUCUUUAUCUGCCUUGUAGUCCACAUGCAAAUUGCAGCAUUAUUUAACUUCCAGAAAACAGUUUGGCAGCACAAGAUGUGCCUAGUAAAAAGUUCUUUCCAGUAAGCUAUUUUCUGUGACGUCCAAGAAGUAGAAACACUCAAGAACUAAUUUAAUGCCAAGUAUGUGAGCAAUACUCAUGUAAUCAAUUCAUAGGCAGGAUAAGAUAUUUUAAAACAUUUGCAGCACUCUAACAUUACUAAUAUAGGUUAUUGUAGUAGUCCUAGUGCCGAGAGUGUGUUUGUGCUGUCCCCUUGAUUUCUGUGAUACCUCAGUUGAUUGGUUUAACAUACGCCAGGCUUUUCCAACUUCAGUCAGUUCCCCUGGCUGUGACUCAAUUAAUGCACUUCUACACUAGUUGAGUGCCAAAGCGAGGCCAUGUUUAAGGAUCAAGGAAAUCAGGACACAUAUUACUGACUCUUUGCACCAUGAUCACUACAACGAGCUCUAGUAGUUACAGAGCUUACAUUGCACCUUAAAAAAAAAAAAAAAAAAGUACUUCCUGUCCAUAUUUUGAAAUUGGCUUAGCUAGAAUAUAUAAAAGAAAAUUUGUAUGUUUUAUGGUUUUCAAUGGCCACCUUAAAAAUAUUCACUUGUUUAAAACUAGUUAUGUUUGAGUCCAUUAUUUUGGUAAUUCUAUUGAAUGCUUUUAUUAACACAGUAUACCUCAUGUAGGUACCAUAUAAUACCUUUAUACAACAAAGACCCCCCCCCCCCAACCUUGUCAUUUAUUUUUAUUGGCUAAUAUAUUUACAGUAUACAACCUUAAUAGAAGCAGGAUUAGGAUUUUGUAGUGACAUGGAUAUUACUAUGGAAAAUGUUUUUAGGGAAUGAACAAUAUCUGCCUAUAAAGAGAGGGUUUUAAAUGUUUGUACCUUUUUGUGUGGUUUUUCUUUUCCUCCAAGGGCUAAUUUUACUUGCAAACAAAUAUAAUUUUAAUAUAUUUUUAAAUAAAUGUAAUGCAGUGGCUCUUUCCUUUAUGCUGGAUUUCACAGUGACUGCAAGCUAUUUUUUUUUUUUUUUUGCCUUUUUAUGAAAUUGAUGCUUUAAAAACUAUUUUUUUAGAAGACCCCCUCCCCCAAAUAAAUUAAUAUUUAGGUUUAAAAGCCAAUUGCAUUGUGGUACUUUUUUAUUUUUUUUAUUUAUUUGAAAAAUGUUAAACUCCUGCCUAUGUUUAGCGUUCAAACCAAAUGGUCCUACAGUAUGAAUUUUGUAGAUAUCCGGGACAUGUCUUAUACUUGAGUAACAUAUCUAAUUAGUUUUGUUUCCUUUAUUCUACUUUUUUUCCUAGGUGUGAUACAAAAUAUUUCCGUACUGAUAUUGGUAAAUCAAGUAUACUACCAGUGGGUCAUGCAAUGCAUUUAUUUAUAUAUUGGCUUCUGCAACGAUUGUGUGACAGGAAUUUCACUAAUCUCUCUAAGGCAGGCAGAUGCAAUGUUACAUUUUAAAAAUUUUUUAUUAGGAUGCCUGGGAACAUUUGAGAGUUUGUAGAGUAAAUGAAUCUCUAAUGCAACAGAUCUGCUUACCACUACAUAUUUAAACACAUUGGGGUAAAAAUUUAAUCUGGGCCACACUUUGUAAAUUUAUAUUCUUCAGUGGACACGUUUGUCCCACUGUCUUGGUUAUUUGGUCCAAGUGUAUUUUAUUUUUUUGCUUGUUUUCUUUUCUUUCCCCACCUAACGCAAAAUGAAGAAGAACAAAUAUUUUUGCUGCCAAGUGCCAUAAAUAGAAUUGUACAGAAUGUGGUUAAGGAAAUGAAAAGUUUAUACUUUAAAAAGAAAAUAAAUUAUUCACAAAGCCUU